rnacentral:rRNA from 1 species
UCCUACGGGAGGCAGCAGUGGGGAAUUUUGGACAAUGGGCGCAAGCCUGAUCCAGCAAUGCCGCGUGAGUGAAGAAGGCCUUCGGGUUGUAAAGCUCUUUCAGUUGAGAAGAAAAGAUUGUGACUAAUAAUCGCAAUUCAUGAC